rnacentral:misc_RNA from 1 species
UGAGGGAGGAAGGCUCUUGGGUCGUAAACCUCUUUUGUCAGGGAAGAACACAAUGACGGUACCUGACGAAUCAGCAUCGGCUAACUCCGUGCCAGCAGCCGCGGUAAUACGGGGGAUGCAAGCGUUAUCCGGAAUUAUUGGGCGUAAAGCGUCCGCAGGUGGUUGACCAAGUCUGCUGUUAAAGCAUGGAGCUUAACUCCAUAUAGGCAGUGGAAACUGGUCGACUAGAGUACGGUAGGGGUCGCGGGAAUUCCCAGUGUAGCGGUGAAAUGCGUAGAUAUUGGGAAGAACACCAGUGGCGAAAGCGCGCGGCUGGACCUGUACUGACACUGAGGGACGAAAGCUAGGGGAGCGAAAGGGAUUAGAUACCCCUGUAGUCCUAGCUGUAAACGAUGGAUACUAGGUGUUGCCCGUAUCGACCCGGGCAGUGCCGUAGCUAACGCGUUAAGUAUCCCGCCUGGGGAGUACGCACGCAAGUGUGAAACUCAAAGGAAUUGACGGGGGCCCGCACAAGCGGUGGAGUAUGUGGUUUAAUUCGAUGCAACGCGAAGAACCUUACCAGGGCUUGACAUGUCGGGAAUCUCGGGGAAAGCUGAGAGUGCCUUCGGGAGCGCGAACACAGGUGGUGCAUGGCAGUGGUCAGCUCGUGUCGUGAGAUGUUGGGUUAAGUCCCGCAACGAGCGCAACCCUCGUUUUUAGUUGCCAUCAUUUAGUUGGGCACUCUAGAGAGACUGCCGGUGACAAACCGGAGGAAGGUGGGGAUGACGUCAAGUCAUCAUGCCCCUUACGUCCUGGGCUACACACGUACUACAAUGCUAGGGACAAAGGGUCGCAAGCUCGCGAGAGCAAGCUAAUCCCAUAAACCCUGGCUCAGUUCAGAUUGCAGGCUGCAACUCGCCUGCAUGAAGGCGGAAUCGCUAGUAAUCGCAGGUCAGCAUACUGCGGUGAAUACGUUCCCGGGCCUUGUACACACCGCCCGUCACACCAUGGAAGUUGGUCACGCCCGAAGUCAUUACUUCAACCGUUCGCGGAGGAGGAUGCCGAAGGCAGGGCUGAUGACUGGGGUGAAGUCGUAACAAGGUAGCCGUACCGGAAGGUGUGGCUGGAUCACCUCCUUUUAAGGGAGACCUCCCACGUAAAGACAAAAAGCUUGCGGGUUUAGGAUUGCAAUGUCUACAGUCUUUCAAGUUGGUCAACCAGGUCGUUCGAGAUUAAGUGUUUGACUCUCAGGCUAUUUAGGUUUGGAGUAUGGGCUAUUAGCUCAGGUGGUUAGAGCGCACCCCUGAUAAGGGUGAGGUCCCUGGUUCGAGUCCAGGAUGGCCCACCUUUCAGAAACCACGGCAUCAAGUGUUUAACUACGGGUUGAAGAAAUUCAUUUCUGAAGUGCGACAUUGAUUUUGGCUUCUGUCCUUGGGGGUUUAGCUCAGUUGGUAGAGCGCCUGCUUUGCAAGCAGGAUGUCAGCGGUUCGAGUCCGCUAACCUCCACUGAAACUGAGUUUCAGCAACCUAGCUAGAUCAGGUCUAGUAGGACUGCUGGAGCUUCUCCAGCGAGAACCUUGAAAACUGCAUAGCAACUUGUCAGGUAGAAAUCUGGAUAAGGAUUUCAAGUUAAUAAGGAUUGGUGAAUUCCAUUCUUUAGGGCUUGAGUUCACAUUCCAGGAGUCACAGACACCAAAAUGAUUUUAGU